AUGAACAUGAAAACUACAUAAUUUAACCUACGGUAAGGUUGGUAGGUUGACUGUACGAAAACAAUUUGGAGGAAAAGAAGAGACUUUAGAUACAUUUUUUUAACGUCUACCUCCACAUAUUAUUAUACCUGUAUAGCAGUGGCACCGUGUCCAUAAGCGUGCGCAGGUUCUCUUAGCAGAGGAGGGAAAUCUUUGGAUUUAAAGCCUUACAAAAAAAUCACAGACACAAAUAGUACAUAUAUUUUCGAAAGUGGGCUUAAAUCCCCGUUAUAUAUUGAUUAUGCUUUGUAUUUAAUUGACGAUCGCUUUGUUUUGAGGGACUUGGUUGGGUUUUCGGAGGAGGGGGUGGAAAUGUUCAAAA